rnacentral:rRNA from 1 species
CCUGGUGCCUUUGGCGGUAUGGACCCACGCUGACCCAUCCCGAACUCAGUGGUGAAACAUGCCUGCGGCGACGAUAGUUGGGCGGUAGCGCCCUGUCAAAAUAGCACGGUGCCAGGU